rnacentral:rRNA from 1 species
UACGGAGGGUGCGAGCGUUGUCCGGAAUCACUGGGCGUAAAGGGCGCGUAGGCGGCCUGAUAAGUAGGGGGUGAAAUCCUGCGGCUCAACCGCAGGGCUGCCUUCUAAACUGUCAGGCUCGAGCACAGUAGAGGCAGGUGGAAUUCCCGGUGUAGCGGUGGAAUGCGUAGAGAUCGGGAGGAACACCAGUGGCGAAGGCGACUACCUGGCCUGUUCUUGACGCUGAGGCGCGAAAGCUAGGGUAGCAAACGGGG